CAAAUCAAAUUCGAAUAAGUGAGUGAAAGUGAAGAGACUGGUCGUUCAAUAUUGAAGCGCUGCUCUUGUCCUCUUACAGCGAAGCGUCAUAGCCCUUAUUCAUCCUCCGCAACAACCCUGCUACCUUGCAGAUUAGACUGCGGAGUGCAGAAGGAAGAAGAGGCUUAGCUUGGCAAUUCAAAAACUGCAACUGGAGGAGGCAUCCAAAGGGAUCGCAUUGAUCCCAAAUCCGAGCCUUCACCCUCUCUCCCAGCUCCCUUCAUUCUGGGAUCAUGCUAUCCCUUUGGAUUCCUCCUUCGGUGGCUUCUCAUCAUUCUUACUAUGUAUUCCUUUAUAUUUGUGUCUGUGCGCCCUGCUUUCCCUCUAAUCCCUCCUCCUCAUCCACCACCGCAUUCUCUGCCUCAUACAUCCGAUUCCUUUAGUUUUGCUUCUGGAUCCAGUGAUACAAGGUUAAUUAUCGCAGAAGAGAACUCAUCUACGCUUGCCGGUGGAAAUUGUCGAAUUUCGCGCCUCAACCAUGAAAUUUCACAUGCAUCCGCUAGAUCCGUAUGUUUAGUCCGGGGGAGGCCAGAUCUUACCCUUGGAGCAAUAGGUAACUAUUAUCCGAUAAAGUUUAAUUUUAUGGGAAUUCUGAAAUCUCUCUGCUCUGUAUUUUACACGAGUGGUUUCUGUGAGUGUCAGUUGUAUAUUUUUGGGAGUGAUGUCACCCUCCAAACUGGAGACCGCUGCUGCCUGCUGACCCAUACAUAUAUAUAUAUAUAUAAAGAAUACAACGUCCAAGUUAGGAAGCAGCUUUUAGUUGGUGAAAUGCGUAUACAUGUCUGUGUAGAAAUCCUUCAGCAGUUCGUAAGUCAAUAGCCUUAGCUAGCAGGCCUAUUGCCAUUAGGUUUGCUUAAACGUGAAGAUGCCCGUACGGCAGCCUUUGCCAAAGGAAAGAAAAGGAUGAGAGUAUUGGCAAAAAUAUGGAGAGAGAAGUGAAUGGGAUGAAACAGUGGGACGAUGGGCGUUGGAGAUUUUUGUGCUGGCGAAAAACGUAGCGGGCUUUGGAAGCUUUUGAUCAUUGCAUGUAUGCAAGGGAAUUGAUUUCAGCUUUUAGUAAAGCACCUUUUGUUUGCAUUGAAGAUUAUGAUAUGUUUUGUGGCACAAACAGCUGACUGGGCGGACCGACAUGUGGCUCCUACCAAACAGUUGCAAAUGCUAUGCCAUAUAUGUGCAGGCGGGGCGGGGCGGGGCGGGGCGGGGGUUGAUGCUCGUUGUGUAAAUUAAACGUACACUACCAGCCUAGCAUCCAUCGGUGGCGGCCCCUACUCAAAUGUGCCCAAGAUACAUAACCCUUUAAUUUAGUUAGAAUCCAAGGCAGUGAAAGUUGCACUUUCCUCGCAGAUUUAAUAUUUGAUGCCAUUUUUCAACCUUGUUUCGUAA